AGAUCGAAGCUUCUCAAACGCCCAUGCCGCCAGGAACUUUGGGCUCCUCCCGCAAGACACACAGUGUGGAGCUCCGGGUACGUGAAGACGCGAACCACGUCCAUAGCACCGGAUGGAAACGAUGGUUUGUAGUGUUUGAGCCAUGGUUGCCACAGGGAAAGCCGCGACGAUGGCUGGCUUUGCCUUUUUCUGCUGCUUGGCUACUUUGUUCUGCGAGCUGCCUGGUGCUGAGAGCUUUGGAAGAUCUCCAGCUUGGUACAACUUGAUCGAAAACAGCAAAGCUUGAUCAGCGACGUUGCGAGUUCUGUUCAAAGCAAAAACUUCAUUCAUCUGGAAACAGGUACUCGUUUUCUCCUGGCUUAGCACUGCUUUGCACGAACCGUUUUUGAUACACAGGGCCAUGCACGCUGCUGGAGACGUUGUGGAGCGCACUGGAUAAAUCUAGAGGUUCUUCCAGGUUCAUUUUCGGGCCUGCAUCUCUCCUUGUCCCCGGAAGAAACGUACUGCAUGGAUGACGAUCUCCUGGUGUCGUUCUUGAGCUCCGGACAGAGGCAUCUGUCAGCUGUCUGGAACGAGAUCCCACAGGUUCGAGUAAGCAAGCUGUUCCCGAAUAACUGCGGGUUUUAAGUCGAUGCUCUUCGUGCUGUUGCUGCUGCUGAAUGAUCUCGAGUAACAUCACCGAUCGUUGGAGUGGACCACAUAACACCUUUCGUCCCGUGGAUUUCCAAGCUGCUAUUGACGAGGAAGAGAAAAGAUAUCUCUUCUUCUUCCUUCCUCGUCGGAGCUCCAGAGCUCUCCAAAAUAUCCCAACAUACUGGAGUUCAAAGCGAUCAAGAACUUCAUCCCUGGUUUUAGAGGCUGGCAGGGAGCAUAGCAUCACCGGGAUGAUCAAAGCUCUGCCACAGCAAAGCUCCAGUUUUGCUCCGGAUUACGAGAUUCCAGAGCUCUCGAGGCCCGUGUUGGUCGACCACACAAAGCUUUCAUCGACGUCGCUCAGCACUAGGUCGCGGUACGCUCCUUUCCGGACAGGUUUCCGCGUAGUUCGCCAUGCCACCGCUGCUGGAUAGUUCCAUGGCGUCCAUUGGGAGGAAGACUGACAAGUAGAACUGAGACUCUUGCGAGGUUUGCUCCUAGGGGUGGUAAAGCCAAGUGUAAUUCGAGCUUGGAGGACAAUGGCGCUUCCAGUGUCAUUGAGUACCCAGCUUGUGUUGGCUUGGCUGUGGAUUCCUGUGAUCUUACGAGAUGAGCUUCGAGCAGGGUGGUGAUCACGAGUAUGAUCGAGACGCAACUACGAUGCAUUAUGCGCUAGACAAUUGAGAAACAAGGCGGCAAUGAAUAUAA